rnacentral:misc_RNA from 1 species
GUGAAAGCCCUCAAAAAUUCUAAAUCUAGGACAUUGACAACAUCGCCGACUUUAAAUUCAGAUUCUGAAAUUGGGUCUUCUUUGGACGACAAUAUGAUUAAUUCUUCCUCUUCGGAAUCUGAAGCCGAAUUUCAGGGAAACAACACAAAAUUGACAUUGUUUGAACCUCGACAAAGCCAAACCCAAAAAAAAAAGCAGCCCAUUAUAUCAGAUUCCAGUAGUUCUCCAGAUCAUGUAAUGGGAGAUACAGGUAACCCUCCGGGUGCGGGAAAACAUACACCUCCAAAGGACUUCGUUUGUCCCAUAACAAGCCAUCUGUUUGAUGAUCCAGUAACUCUUGAGACAGGGCAGACAUAUGAACGAAAGGCA